GUACACUCCUGCGGGAGGCAGCAGUGGGGAAUUUUGGACAAUGGGCGAAAGCCUGAUCCAGCAAUGCCGCGUGCAGGAUGAAGGCCUUCGGGUUGUAAACUGCUUUUGUACGGAACGAAAAAGCUCCUUCUAAUACAGGGGGCCCAUGACGGUACCGUAAGAAUAAGCACCGGCUAACUACGUGCCAGCAGCCGCGGUAAUACGUAGGGUGCGAGCGUUAAUCGGAAUUACUGGGCGUAAAGCGUGCGCAGGCGGUUAUGUAAGACAGAUGUGAAAUCCCCGGGCUCAACCUGGGAACUGCAUUUGUGACUGCAUGGCUAGAGUACGGUAGAGGGGGAUGGAAUUCCGCGUGUAGCAGUGAAAUGCGUAGAUAUGCGGAGGAACACCGAUGGCGAAGGCAAUCCCCUGGACCUGUACUGACGCUCAUGCACGAAAGCGUGGGGAGCAAACAGGAUUAGAUACCCUAGUAGUCCC
rnacentral:rRNA from 1 species